GUGGUUUUAAGAAGAACUUAGACUAAACAAGAUUAAAUCUAUAAGGCGAUCAAAGUUCCCCGGCAAUGGCGCCAAAUUUGAUAUCACUCAAAUUACUCCAAGGAGUGAAUUACUCUAUCAAAUAAGAGGUUCAAUUGUAGUACUUAGGGAUCGGAUCCACAGAGAGCUAGCUAGGGAACCUAAUAAAUCUAAUCAGAUUAGUUAAGCUAGAUUGUUUAAUGAUUGAAAUGUAAAGAUGCACGUUUGUGAGCAAGUAAUUGCUCGAUUGAUUGAUUGAAUUUUUGGUACUUAAAUGGAAAUAGAUAGACUUAGGGUUUUUAUUCAGGAAAUAAGGAUUAUAAUCCUACAGAUGCCUAAUAAGUUGUAUGCAUGAUAUUAUAGAGCUCAACACUUAAUAACAAACCCUUAGG
rnacentral:lncRNA from 1 species